AAACAACUCGAUGGAUCCUGGGAAACAGGCAAUCUUGGAUAAUCUUGGCGUAAAACACUGAGACACUGUCCGGAUGUAAGCUCGGGAGACUCGUCACCUCCGUCGUAUCACUUGUUGUU
rfam:Peach associated luteovirus isolate Konela, complete genome.